CCUAAACGGCCGACCGCGCGGGUCGCGCCCGGGAGCGUCUCCUGGAGGCCCGGCGGAGGGGGCGGGGCCGCGAGGCCCGGGCGGCGUCCGGAUUGGCUGAGCUUUGCACUCCGGCCAAUGUCUGGGGCCAGCACAGCAUCUUCCUGUCUGCUCUAUACAAUGAAAAUACAAACUAAAUGAAGAUAGAAAAAAAUAAUUAAAGCAUUAAAUUGUACAAAUUACAAAUCUGUUCCAAAAUAUACUUACAUUAAAUAAAAUACGCAUUUCAGUAAGA